AACGAACGCUGGCGGCAGGCCUAACACAUGCAAGUCGAACGCUCCGCAAGGGGAGUGGCGCACGGGUGAGUAACACGUGGGAACCUACCUUCUGGUACGGAACAACCAAGGGAAACUCUGGCUGAUACCGUAUACGACCUCCGGGUGAAAGAUUGAUCGCCGGAAGAGGGGCCCGCGUCCGAUUAGGUAGUUGGUGAGGUAACGGCUCACCAAGCCUGCGAUCGGUAGCUGGUCUGAGAGGANGACCAGCCACACUGGGACUGAGACACGGCCCAGACUCCUACGGGAGGCAGCAGUGGGGAAUCUUGCGCAAUGGGCGAAAGCCUGACGCAGCGACGCCGCGUGAGGGAUGACGGCCUGG
rnacentral:rRNA from 1 species